rnacentral:rRNA from 1 species
AGUGAACGCUGGCGGUAGGCCUAACACAUGCAAGUCGAACGGCAGCACAGUAAGAGCUUGCUCUUACGGGUGGCGAGUGGCGGACGGGUGAGGAAUACAUCGGAAUCUACUUUUUCGUGGGGGAUAACGUAGGGAAACUUACGCUAAUACCGCAUACGACCUACGGGUGAAAGCAGGGGAUCUUCGGACCUUGCGCGAUUGAAUGAGCCUAUGUCGGAUUAGCUAGUUGGCGGGGUAAAGGCCCACCAAGGCGACGAUCCGUAGCUGGUCUGAGAGGAUGAUCAGCCACACUGGAACUGAGACACGGUCCAGACUCCUACGGGAGGAAGCAGUGGGGAAUAUUGGACAAGGGGCGCAAGCCUGAUCCAGCCAUACCGCGUGGGUGAAGAAGGACUUCGGGUUGUAAAGCCCUGUUGUUGGGAAAGAAGAGCAGCAGGUUAAUACCCCGCUGUUAUGACGGUACCCAAAGAAUAAGCACCGGCUAACUUCGUG